GAUGAACGCUGGCGGCGUGCCUAAUACAUGCAAGUCGAGCGAACAGACGAGGAGCUUGCUCCUUUGACGUUAGCGGCGGACGGGUGAGUAACACGUGGGUAACCUACCUAUAAGACUGGGAUAACUUCGGGAAACCGGAGCUAAUACCGGAUAAUAAUUCGAACCGCAGGGUUCGAUAGUGAAAGAUGGCUCUGCUAUCACUUAUAGAUGGACCUGCGCCGUAUUAGCUAGUUGGUAAGGUAACGGCUUACCAAGGCAACGAUACGUAGCCGACCUGAGAGGGUGAUCGGCCACACUGGAACUGAGACACGGUCCAGACUCCUACGGGAGGCAGCAGUGGGGAAUCUUGCGCAAUGGGCGAAAGCCUGACGGAGCAACGCCGCGUGAGUGAUGAAGGUCUUCGGAUCGUAAAACUCUGUUAUUAGGGAAGAACAAACGUGUACGUAACUGUGCACGUCUUGACGGUACCUAAUCAGAAAGCCACGGCUAACUACGUG
rnacentral:rRNA from 1 species